CCCCGAUUGGCCACCAUGCUCACAGCCCACUGCAUUGUCGCCUCUGACGGGUGCAGAUGGUGCACGGAGGCCACCACUCUGCCACACGCUGGGAGAUGUAGUUCUUAGAAUAUUUAAACACCAGCAAAAACUACAGUUAUUAAAGAGAACAGUGCCUAAGGGACUGAGCUGAGCUUGUAAGAAGAGCACGCCUGCUUGCUAAUGAUGACAGCGGUAGCAGAAUUCCAUCUAGGGCUGGAUACCAAGGCCAGUAAUGCCUGUAAUCUCAGCACUUUGGGAGACCAAAGUGGGAGGAUCACUUGAGCCCAGGAAUUCAAGCCCACCCUGGGCAACACAGCAAGACCCUGCCACUCCAUUAUUUUUUAAAAUAAAAAAUAAAUAAAUAAAAAUUU
rnacentral:lncRNA from 1 species